UUACAAGGUGCUGCAUGGUUGUCGUCAGCUCGUGCCGUGAGGUGUUAGGUUAAGUCCUGCAACGAGCGCAACCCCUGUCACUAGUUGCUAACAUUUAGUUGAGGACUCUAGUGAGACUGCCUACGCAAGUAGAGAGGAAGGUGGGGAUGACGUCAAAUCAUCACGGCCCUUACGUCUUGGGCCACACACGUAAUACAAUGGCCGGUACAGAGGGCAGCUACCUAGCGAUAGGAUGCAAAUC
rnacentral:rRNA from 1 species